GGGGCUGGGGCUCAGUGGUAGAGCACUUGUCUCGCGCAUAUGAGGUCCUGGGUUCAAUCCUCAGCACCA
rnacentral:tRNA from 1 species